CGCAGGGUAGAGCAGUUGGUAGCUCGUCGGGCUCAUAACCCGGAGGUCGCUGGUUCAAGUCCAGUCCCUGCACCCA
rnacentral:tRNA from 1 species